rnacentral:rRNA from 1 species
CAUGCAAGUCGAGGGGCAGCAUGAAUAUUGGCUUGCCAAUAUUUGAUGGCGACCGGCGCACGGGUGAGUAACACGUAUCCAACCUUCCGGUUACUCGGGGAUAGGCUUUCGAAAGAAAGAUUAAUACCCGAUGUUGUGUAUCUUUCUCCUGAAAGAUACGCCAAAGGAUUCCGGUAACCGAUGGGGAUGCGUUCCAUUAGGCAGUUGGCGGGGUAACGGCCCACCAAACCUUCGAUGGAUAGGGGUUCUGAGAGGAAGGUCCCCCACAUUGGAACUGAGACACGGUCCAAACUCCUACGGGAGGCAGCAGUGAGGAAUAUUGGUCAAUGGACGGAAGUCUGAACCAGCCAAGUAGCGUGAAGGAUGACUGCCCUCUGGGUUGUAAACUUCUUUUAUACGGGAAUAACAUGAGGUACGCGUACCUUAUUGCAUGUACCGUUAUGAAUAAGCAUCGGCUAACUCCGUGCCAGCAGCCGCGGUAAUACGGAGGAUGCGAGCGUUAUCCGGAUUUAAUUGGGUUUAAAGGGAGCGUAGGUGGGAUAUUAAGUCAGCUGUGAAAGUUUGGGGCUCAACCUUAAAAAUUGCAGUUGAUACUGGUUUCCUUGAGUACGGUACAGGUGGGCGGAAUUCGUGGUGUAGCGGUGAAAUGCUUAGAUAUCACGAAGAACUCCGAUCGCGAAGGCAGCUCACCGGGCCGGAACUGACACUGAUGCUCGAAAGUGCGGGUAUCAAACAGGAUUAGAUACCCUGGUAGUCCCGCACAGUAAACGAUGAAUACUCGCUGUUUGCGAUACACAGUAAGCGGCCAAGCGAAAGCGUUAAGUAUUCCACCUGGGGAGUACGCCGGCAACGGUGAAACUCAAAGGAAUUGACGGGGGCCCGCACAAGCGGAGGAACAUGUGGUUUAAUUCGAUGAUACGCGAGGAACCUUACCCGGGCUUAAAUUGCGCUGGCUUUUACCGGAAACGGUAUUUUCUUCGGACCAGCGUGAAGGUGCUGCAUGGUUGUCGUCAGCUCGUGCCGUGAGGUGUCGGCUUAAGUGCCAUAACGAGCGCAACCCUUAUCUUUAGUUACUAACAGUUUUGCUGAGGACUCUAAAGAGACUGCCGUCGUAAGAUGCGAGGAAGGUGGGGAUGACGUCAAAUCAGCACGGCCCUUACGUCCGGGGCUACACACGUGUUACAAUGGGGAGCACAGCAGGUUGCUACACGGCGACGUGAUGCCAAUCCGUAAAACUCCUCUCAGUUCGGAUCGAAGUCUGCAACCCGACUUCGUGAAGCUGGAUUCGCUAGUAAUCGCGCAUCAGCCACGGCGCGGUGAAUACGUUCCCGGGCCUUGUACACACCGCCCGUCAAGCCAUGAAAGCCGGGGGUACCCUGAAGUACGUAACCGCGAGGAUCUCCUAGG